GGAUAUAGAUCAGUUGGUAGAGUGCUUGCCUUGCAUGCAUGAGGCCCUGGGUUCUAAUCUUCAGUACCA
rnacentral:tRNA from 1 species